GACGAACGCUGGCGGCGUGCCUAAUACAUGCAAGUCGAACGAGAGCGACCGGUGCUUGCACUGGUCAAUCUAGUGGCGAACGGGUGAGUAACACGUGGGUAACCUGCCCAUCAGAGGGGGAUAACAUUCGGAAACGGAUGCUAAAACCGCAUAGGUCCUUUAACCGCAUGGUUGAAGGAGGAAAAGAGGCGCAAGCUUCUGCUGAUGGAUGGACCCGCGGUGCAUUAGCUAGUUGGUGAGGUAACGGCUCACCAAGGCCGUGAUGCAUAGCCGACCUGAGAGGGUGAUCGGCCACAUUGGGACUGAGACACGGCCCAAACUCCUACGGGAGGCAGCAGUAGGGAAUCUUCCGCAAUGGACGCAAGUCUGACGGAGCAACGCCGCGUGAGUGAAGAAGGUUUUCGGAUCGUAAAACUCUGUUGUUAGAGAAGAACAAGUGCUAGAGUAACUGUU
rnacentral:rRNA from 1 species